AUACGUAGGGGGCAAGCGUUAUCCGGAUUUACUGGGUGUAAAGGGAGCGUAGGUGGCAGGGCAAGUCAGAUGUGAAAACCCGGGGCUCAACCCCGGGAGUGCAUUUGAAACUGUCCAGCUGGAGUGCAGGAGAGGUAAGCGGAAUUCCUAGUGUAGCGGUGAAAUGCAUAGAUAUUAGGAGGAACACCAGUGGCGAAGGCGGCUUACUGGACUGUAACUGACACUGAGGCUCGAAAGCGUGGGGAGCAAA
rnacentral:rRNA from 1 species